ACCUUUAUACUUAAACCAUUGGUAAAACAUGGUGUUUGUCUACGUGUGCACUUUAACUUUAAAUGUAUAUAUCAGCUUAAGAUCGGUUGUUUUAUUAUUCAUAUACAACACAUUUGAAAGCAGAAAGACAUUAAAUUAACCGGCAUUGAUUUAUUUCUAUUGAAAUAAACCCUAUGAUGUAUUUAUUACAGAACCGUCUUUUAGUGGGAUCAGACCUUCGGUAACGAUGACCGUCAACUUAACACUCCCCGUAUCGGCAUUACGAGCAUCAGGAUCGGCAAACCCAUACCUUUCAACUAAUAUGAUGUCAAAACCAGUGGAUACUGUCAUCCACGGCGUGGAGAGCAUGCUUAAGGAGCCAUACGGGUGUUGCCAACAAACGUUUUACACAACUGUGCCAAUUGUAGCCGGUCUGUACUACUUGAAACAAACGAGAACCCUUACAGAGCAGCAAAAGCAAAGUGGACACAGGUUUCUGAGUAUAGG